GUUACUGACAGAAGAAGCACCGGCUAACUCCGUGCCAGCAGCCGCGGUAAUACGGAGGGUGCGAGCGUUAAUCGGAAUUACUGGGCGUAAAGCGUACGCAGGCGGUUGAUUAAGCGAGAUGUGAAAGCCCCGGGCUCAACCUGGGAACUGCAUUUCGAACUGGUCAACUAGAGUGUGAUAGAGGGUGGUAGAAUUUCAGGUGUAGCGGUGAAAUGCGUAGAGAUCUGAAGGAAUACCGAUGGCGAAGGCAGCCACCUGGGGUCAACACUGACGCUCAUGUACGAAGCGUGGGGGAGCAAACAGGAUUAGAUACCCUGGUAGUCCACGCCCGUAAACGAUGUCUACUAGAAGCUGGGUCCUUCGGACACUUUUUUCAAAGCUAACGCAUUAAGUAGACCGCUGGGGAGUACGGCCCGCAGGUUAAAACUCCAAUGAAUUGACGGGGCCCCGCACAGCGGUGGAACCAUGUGUUUAUUCCAUGCACGCGAGAACCUUACCUACCUUG
rnacentral:rRNA from 1 species